GUGCCAGCAGCCGCGGUAAAACGUAGGAGACAAACGUUAUCCGGAGUUACUGGGCGUAAAGGGCGUGUAGGCGGUUUGUUAAGUCUGGCGUGAAAGCUCUCGGCUAAACCGGGAGAGGUCGUUGGAUACUGGCGAACUAGAGGAUGGUAGAGGCGUGUGGAAUUCCGGGUGUAGUGGUGAAAUGCGUAGAGAUCCGGAGGAACACCAGUGGCGAAGGCGACACGCUGGGCCAUACCUGACGCUAAAGCGCGACAGCAUGGGGAGCAAACGGGAUUAGAAACCCCUGUAGUCC
rnacentral:rRNA from 1 species